AGGACUGGUUGUUUUGCUUUCAGUUUGCUUCCUCGACUAUCAUCAUGAGAUCAAAAGCUGUGUUUUUUAUACCACAUGACAGCCCGAUGCCCCACACAGGGUCAGCAUUAAACAAAAUUUUUGAUAGGAUCAGGUGAGCCAAAGGAUGAAUAAAUGAGUACUCACGUUCAGGUGGCAUCAGGUGGGAAUUGUGGCUAGGUAAAAUGGCAUCUUGUUACAAUGGUAAUUUCAGUCACCUAUUCCUUACCUCUUCUGGGCAGGCGGAUUGAUUUGCAAUUGGCUUCUUUUCUUCUUUCUCACUCUACUAAUACUAGAUGGAAAUCUCAUUGACUCUUAACAACAAAGCAAGUAUCUUACCAUAUUCACAGGUUCUACCCCACCUACUAGGGAAGUAAAAGUAUACAGGGAGUGGAAAUCUUGGGGCCAUCUUAGAAUCCUGCCCACCACAAGCAGCAAAAUAUUCCUGCUCCAAUAUGUUUCCCAUAGCUACCUUGUGUCUUCCAACUUCAUGUGAGUGGUGUGUUUGUUGCUUUGCUUAUGGGCAAAGAUGAUUUUUUGGGGGAGAUAUUUGAUUAACCUUCUAACUUCUUUUAUCUUUGACACCUUCAGUCUUCCUUCAUUUACCUUUAUACAGACUUUAUUAUAAGGUCACUUUUCUUUUCCUUUUUCCUUUAGGGUCUCUUCCCUUUGCAUAGAUUAUUGGAACUCUCCACUUACAAAGACUAGCUUUUAUGCUUCCAACUCUUGAUAUCAAGUUUUUAUCUAGCAUCAGACCUUGAAUGUGAGUUGUCCAUGUGUCAGAACUGUCUUUCAAAAUCAAAAGUUUCACAUACCAUUUUCGAUUAUCCCAAAGGAAAUGCUAGGCACCUAUUUAUUCCACAAUUAUUUUUAAAGUGUGUAUGUAUUAAUUGUGCACAUACUAUUUUAUUAUUUACAAAGUGAGUUAAGCACAGUAUUCCUGUUCAAAAUACGAAAAUAAGUAUCAUGGAAAAGUGGCAACUGUGUCUUAUGUUCCUUCAUUUUUAGCACCUUGUUAUUCCUUUUAUAUAAAACUCUGGUGUACACACAGUUUUUCCUCUUUUCUGGAAAAUGUGAAUAAAUUACAUUUCCUUUGUACAUUCCGUGCUGUCUUGGACAAAAUCAAACACUUGAGGGUAGAAAUGAAUUGUAUUCCAGUAGUAGAUAGGACAAUUUUUCACUCCUUUCAACUUAGGCGUUGUAUUAGUUUUCUACAAAUAACAACUAUAGACUGAACGACUUAAACAACAGGAAUUUAUUUUUUCACGAUUCUGGAGGCAAGGAGUCCCAGCUCAAGGUGUUGGCAGGGUAGGUUUUUCUGAGCCCCAUCCUUUGCUUUGCAAAUGGGUAUCUUCUCCCUAUGUCUUCACAUGGUCUUCUCUGUGUUUUUGUGUCCUAACCUCCUCUUCUUAUAAGGACACCAGUCAUUGGAUUCAGGCCCAUCCUACUGAUCUCCUUUAAUUUAAUUACCUCUUUAAAGACACUAACUCCACCUACAGUCAGAUUUUGAGGUACUGGGAGUAAGGACUUCAGCAUCUGAAUUGGGGAGGAGACAAUUCAGCCUGUAACAGUCAUGAUAUGAAUUAACUGCUAUUGUGCAUGAGAUGUCUAACGAAAAGACAGAAAAGAAGUGUAAAGAAGUGAUUACUGAGAUCAACAAAUGUUACUAUAGGACUGCCAGUCUAUAGCUACUGCAGAUAUAUAUAUAUAUAUAUAACAAUGUAAUAGUGGGUGAUUUGUAGAUGAUAAUAGACCAUUCAGAGAAACAAGUUGAAUAUUUUCUUACAUUGGAAAAAAAAAGGGGACACAAAAGAAAUGAUUUCCCAGCAUUUUAUUAGAUUCCAUAAGAAUUCUGAGCAUCAAACUAUACACUGCUAUAUAUGAAGCCAAAUCCAAUGGGAAUCUUUUGAUUUUACAUAUCGAUCACUUUCAAAAUAAGGAUACUAGCCUUAUUUGCUGUGCAAUAUUAUCAUGACAUGCAUUUUUAAUUUAUUGGGUCUUUCAGUUUUUAUGCAUCUAUAAAGCCUAAUAGUUCAGCCUCUCUGUAGGCAUCUUUGCUACUUCCUAUCUGAGGAAAUAAUGUUUUAUUAUAAAAUUACAAUUUUUUUGUAAUUUAGAUCUGUACUUUCUAAGAUAAGAAAACAGAUCUAUCAUUUGGGGCAAGAAUAGAAACAAAAUAAACUCUCUUAAAGCAGGGGAAACAACUUUCUGAAAAAAAAAAAUUGAAGACACACCUUUCGUGUAUUUUAGGAACAUUUCACUUUUGCUCAUCUUCUGACUGCAUUGUGAACCAUCAUAGCUAGAUCAAAAUUAGUUAUGUUAAUAAACAAAAACAAAAAUUCUGUCUAUUUGCCUUACAUUAAGAGAUAUCCUUUUGCCUGAUGCAACAACAGAAACUAAAAUCUCUAACGAAAAACAUCCUGGCUUCUCUCACCAUCGUUGUCCAAUAGGAAGGAAUUUGGUCAGGAGUAAAAAUAACUCAGUUAUGAUCCAUGUUAUUACACUCCUCUGAGCUUCUUUCUCUCUUCCACAUGUUGAAUGACUUACUGGUUUAUUUUUGCCACAUACAUAAUGUUUGGCUCCUAUCUCAUGUGCAAUCAGUCUUAAUUAUUGGAUCUCUUUCCCCCCUACAAUCAGAUCAUUUUGAUUAUUACUUUAAUUGUACAUUCCCUAACUAACUUCUCUCUAGUUUGUUUUUAACUUCAGGCUACCUGUGGGCAUAACGUUUUACAAUUCAGAAUGUGAAUUUUACACUUAGCCUAAUAACUAAAUAAGCUUAGAAAUUUAGGUACGGUAAAUUAGGUCACUUGGUACCUUUUCAUACAAGGAAAGCAAACUUCUUGUGUGCCUAGGUGUUGCUUUUGGAGAAACUUUCCUGAGCAUUGAGGAGUCAGUGCUAACUCCUGCAACCAUGUGAGUCUCUCCGACUCUGUGAUGCCAACUUACCAUCUUGCUGUAGUCGAAGAGCUUUAGGUUGGAGUGAAUGGGUACCAUCUUUGUUCUUAGAGGUGGACUCUAAGGACCUUGUUUUUGUAGGAAAACACAAGGGCUAUUUUAGUGUUAAUUUGAACACAUCAGAAGAGUUUACAUCAGAAUUUCAAAGAAACGUAGGAAUCCUUGUUACCUUUAAAUCUCAAAUUUUCUCCAUGAUAUAAAAUAUCAGUCUUCUUUUAAAAGAUCAGAAAUUACCCCAAUGACCAGAUCCAAAUGCUGAACAACAAACAGUCCAGAUUUACCAUGAGGAAUAGGGUUAAUAUUUGCUCCCCAAUGACAAAUCCCAACCCGGAACAGAUUUCAGCCAGGCAGCUAGCAAAGCUCGCGGGUGAACUGCACAGGCCAUGGUGGGUGCAGAGCUCAGAGCCGGAAAGCAAACAGCUGCUGUAGCCUGAUUUGAGUUAAAAUAGUGUGAGUGUUUAGUCUGGCGCACGGCUUCAGGGGAGAUUGGCAGCUGGGUCAAACAAAGUCCUUCCAUUGGCUCCCUUCCCAGGCAGCUUCUGCUAGUGUUUAGGUACUAGUGCAGUGUAGAACCCUUUUCUCAGGCAAAACCUAACAUCUGACCGCACCCUUUUUGCUAUUAAAAAAAAAAAAAAAAAAAGCUUCUAUUUUUUUCCUCCUGUCGUUAAGAUAAAUUCUCCAGUAGACAACCUCUCCCACUAAUUGUGUAUUAGCAACGUAUUUUAUCUUGAGAGCUUGUACACUGGGCUCUCAACGUGGUGUGGAAGGUAGCCUGUUACAGUGCUGGAUUCAUAAAAGGGCCUUUAUGGUUUGUGAAAGAAUAUCUGUGUGCUUAGGGAGGAAACUUUUUGAUCUGCAGAAAAGCCAGAAGACAUCUAGGACAUCCAUAAAAAUUCAUCAGAGAGCAUUUUACUACUGAGCUGCAAAGGGAAAAACUUAAAAUGGAUAUGAAAAGUGAAGAAAGUGAUCAUAGGAGAAAACCAUUUCAGGUAUCUGAUGAUUUGUGAGCCUCAAGUGACUACUCUGUGGAAUCAUCUGUCCUUGCCUUUGAAUUAGCUUUCCCUAGGCCAUGAGUCAACAUUAGUAGUUUAUACAUCCAAAUUGAUGACAAGAGCACCUCAAAGGCAGCAGCCUCAAGGAGCAGCCAUGGCCCCAGAGUUGUCGCACGGAUGCAGAAAACUUAAUGGAGGAGGCUGAGGUCAGAAUGGGAAGAGUUUUUAAAAAGUAAAAAGGGGAGCUAAUAUGUGAGGAACUGAUUGCUGUGCAUUAUUUUCCACUGAACAGACCUUCUUUUAACUUCUAAUCUCAAGCACAUAGCAGCUGUUGUUUUCAUAUUAAAGAUCAGUAAGUGUUUGUUGAAUGAAUGUAUAAAUUCUUCCCCAAUCUCUGUUCCAUGUAAUAAGAACUAAGUUAGCAUUCAAUUAUAAAGAGGACUUAGAAAGUCUGCAGACAUUUUUGAUCAAAAAUCCUUUUAACUGUCUUCUUAUGGUUCCCGGUAACACCUAAGCCCAAAAAACUCAGGUCAUUUCUUGCCUAUACUGUUACAAUAGCCUCAUAAUAACUAGUCUUCUCCUUUAUCAACCACAGUCGUCUCCACUACACAAAGAAGAGAGGGUGCUAAUCUAAAGUGUAAAUUAUUUUAAAUCAGCACCCUUCUUGUAAUUUCCCAGUGGUUUUUCCUGUCAUAAGAAUAACAUGCAAAAUUCCUUGCUUGCAAAGCCAGGUAUGACCUUGCCCCGCCUACCUUACCGGCAUCGUCUCUCAUGACUCUUCCGCUUUUUCACUCUCCAUCUUGCCUUUUCCCAACCAUGCCUGCUAGUGAGCCUUAGCCCUUGUGUUCUCUCUGCCAGGGAUGCAUGACUGGCUUCUUUACUUUAUUCUGAUCUCUCUGCUCAAAUGUCAUCUUUUUAGAGAUAGCUUUCCUAAACAUCUUUAAAAGUACCCCAUUAACUGUGAAACACCUUUCCUGCUUUAAGUUUUCUUCAUAGUACUUAUCACUUCCUGAUAUUAUGUUAGACAACAAGCAAAUAAGUAUAUGCUGUUCCCACUAAAAUAUAAGCUCCAUUUGAACAGGAGCCUUGAUUAUUCCUGAGUAUACCCCUAGUGCCCAGAACCUAGUAGGGCUUUAAUAAAUAUUAGAUUCAUUUGUUGCAUGAAAAAAUGAAUGAAUAAUUGAAUAAAGAUAUCCAGGUAGAGUGUCCGGGCAGCCCAACCUAUGUGAAGCCAGUACAAGAAUGUUUCUGUGACAUAGUGAAUGCAAUUAUUCCUCUAAAUGAUGAACUUGCAUGAGCACACAAGGAUAAAAUUAAGCACGUAGUUUAGAUUUCUGCAAGUCUCUUCCUCAGAUUGAGGAAAAACAAAGAAAUUGAGCUUAUUCUCACCUCAUUCUUACAUGAACUAAAUCCAGAAUAAAGCAUCAUUUAUAUACCAAGCACAUCCCUACCUCAGCCACUCAUGGAAUACUUUAUCUGUAAAGGGACAGAUAGUAAAUAUUUUUGGCUUUGGGGACCAUACAGUCUGUGUCGCCACUACUCAGCACUUCUGUUGAGGUGUGGAAUCAGCCCUAGACAACACAUAAACAAAUAGGCGUGGCUGUGUUCCAAUAAAAUGUUAUUUAUAAAACUAGGAAAUCAGCAGAUUUAGUCCACAGGCUGUAGUUUGCUGACCCUUGAAUUAGAGAGUCUUCCCCAAAUCCUCUUCCCAAGUUAUUGAAAGAAUGCCCAUAGGACCAUAGCUCCCUCACCUGGUUCUUUCAAGAAAUGAGACAAAUUCAGGGAUGGUUGGAGGGUGGAACGCCUACCUGUGACAUGACUAUUGAGCCUGAUUUCUUUCCUUUUAUCUCUUUAAAGUGAGUCAGGUCUUAGCUUUAAACUGUCUCUAAAGUGGCAAUAACUGGGCCAUGUCAAAUACUCCCAAUGACAAAAUUUCUUCUUGGAGAAUGAAUGAGGGUUGCAUACAGUGGUGUGUUGGUAAAUGUUUAGCAACUGGCUCUCUUACUGAUUUCUGUAGUGUAAAUUCUCCCAUCCUGGCCAUCUGAAACUACCAAUAUGAUGUCACUUAAUGUAGAGUUGGGAAAAGACAGUCUCUUGAAUAAGUAUGAGCUGGUUCCAGCCCACUGCUGAACACAUAUUUAAAAGCUACAAUAGCUCUGCUCACUGCCAUUGCAGAGUCUGGAGGAAAGAGUAGUGGGCUUGAUAGGAGCAAUUGGCUGGAUAAUCUUUUGCAAUGCCAAUAAAUAAUGAAAAAGUAUAUAAAUAUCAUGCUGUAUAGAAAGCUUUCAAGUUCAGUGUUUGGUUAAAAUACAUACUCAGUAAAUGGUAGCUAUUAUCGUCUUAGUUUAAGUUAUUGCAAGCAUUAAAAUUAAAUGUUUAGCUACAGACUCAAUCCAAUUUUAAUGUCAUUGUGUUAAUAAGGCCUCUUAACAUUGAAGCAACAAAGAUAAAGGAAUUUUUUUGUAGCUAUUCACGAUUCUGCCCAGCUCAAGGUAAAGAUAGCAACAAAAUACUCCAACCAGAAUAAAAGAAGUCUCCACUUGACUGCAGCUCUUCACAACACUUCAUAAGGGUCAAGCUGUGUUAGUUUCCUUCAGUGUUAAAGAGAAUGCGUCUUAAGAGAAUAGUUCAAUUAUUGAUUGAAUAGUAGGUUCAAGUUGACUAUAAUCCCGACUAAUAUACUCUAAGACCAGGGAUGGGCCAACAGAAGGGUAAAGUUUUCCACUCAAGUCUCGAGGCAAACACUCAGAUAGAAGUAGUAAUAUGGAUGCCUUCUAUUAUUUGGUCACAUACAAUACUGUUCCAGCCCAGUUGUGCAAAACUGGUGAAAUAAAAGGCAAAAAUAUUGACAACAGUUUGGGUAACUGGAUUCCAAAAUGAGCAUCCAUCUAAGAGAAAUUAAUGAAAAAAAAAGUAUAUGGACCUUGAAAUCCAUUAAUACACAGUUUAGGUUUAAACACUCAGUUUUUGUUAGAAAAGACUAACAUAUGCUGUUUUGAACACUACAAAAGUGCUUUCUGAACCAUUUACUCUCAAACCUCCUCCACCCAUUCCCCUCCAUCUAUAACGCUUUCUGCACAUCUGUAAAAGGUAUGACUUAGUGUUUGGUCUGUGAAAUAAGGUUAAAAAGGAAGCAUUUCUUUUUACAUUCUAGCUAAUGUUGAUAUUUUUCUCAUGCUUCUAUUAGCACAUAAUUCAGAUACAUUAGUUUUGAAGUUUUGAAUCUUCUCUGCUUCUUGAGGGCUCUCUGUUCUAGAUCAACAUUAUCUGUGGAACACCAGCCAAGUCCUGGGCAGAAUCCUCCCCAUUGUCCAAAUAUUACUGAAUCAGUUGAGUUUUCUCUGUUGUCAAUGAAUUAUUCCACAUGUUUCUUUGCUACAUUUUCUUUUGGCUUUCUGUUCACAGUAAAUGAUAGCUUUUGUUUUUAAAAACUUCUAUUACGAAAAUUCCAAAUAUAUGCAAAUUAGAGAGAAUAGCAUAAUGAACCUCUAUGUGCUUAUCACACAUAUAGGUUCAACUAAUUAAAUUAUAUCAAUUUAUGGCCAAUCUGGUUUCAUUUAUAACAUCAUUCGCUCAUUCCUAACUCCCUGGAUUAUUUGAUUGACAUGUUUCUAAAGUUCCUUUUAAUCUAUAGGUUCCCCCUCUCAUUUAAUCUUUUGCAACUUAUUCAUUGAUGAAACUGGGUUAUUUGUCCUUUAUUGUUUCUCUCAUUCUGAAAUAUGUUGUAAUGUCAUUAACCAUAUUCUUCUUUCCUGUAUUUUCCGUAAGCUUUGAGCUAGGCAGAAAUAUUUUAAUCAGAUUCCUUUUUUUUUCUUUUAGCAAGAUUUCUUCAUAAAUAAUAUUGUAUGUGUUCAUGAAAAUAGAAAUAAAAAUAGAAAUAAAGAAGAAAUAACAGAAAAAGGACAGAAA